ACAUACUAUCAUUUCAUAAUUUAUUCUAGUAUUUACAGCAAGAAGUGUAAACUAAAAUAGAUUGUGAAAAAUUGAUAGUGUGA